AUUAUCAACAAUUGUCUAUAUGGUGUACGUAGCUAGCUAUAGGUGGUCAUUCCCACCUAAUAAUGGCAGAGAUUAAAGGAAUUAAGAUUGAAAAAUAACGAUCUAUAUUCAAUUAUUCUCAAUGGUAAUUAGUGAGUAAAUCUGUGGGCAUACUGCAUAUGGCCACCACUGGGUGAAAUUGAAGCUGGCAGUGUUGACAGUGACACUACAUUCUGCCAUUUCCAUGCCUUUGUAUAUAUUAGAGCCCUCAAACUACACUCUGGACCUUGAAGCCAGUUCCACUGCCUUUUUCCAUCGUUCCCCUCUAAUCAUUGGACUGGUUUAGGUGGGUGCUAUUAAUUAUCAGGUAGAAUGGAAAACCAGCAGGAAGCGAGACGGUGAAUGGUGGUUAGCAGAGCGCGCUUGUUUCACAUGGAAAAACUUUUCGGUAGCUUUUGAUAAAGAAGAACAUCGAGACGAAGCAGCUGCUUUAUAAGUGGGGUGCACUGGUGAGCGCUACAUCCCGAGGGGUUCAUGCUGAUUGUGACAGCCGGUUAAAUGGCGUCCCUUGAGAAAGCAAGAGCAAGAUGUAUGUCAGGAGAAGUGCAGCAUUAUAAGGAGAAGUAUCAUUGGAAUACCUAGGAGGAAUGGAGGGGAAAAGACAGGCAGAGGAGGUCUAAGAGAGAGGGAGGAAGAGGGUGAGCUUGAGGGGAUUCAAAAUGGUGGGAAAAGGGAGAUGGUUUGUUAAUUAACAAUGGUAGAAAAUGUAAGCAAAGUGAGCUGAAAACAGGUGGAGAAAUGGAAGUGAAUGAGGUCGAAAUAUUGGAGGUGGUAGAGGUGUGAAGUUCUCAGAGCCCGAGGCUUGCACCAAGGGUCAGGAUAAAGUUGAGUCUGACAGUAGGGGGGAAGUUUUUGGAAAAAGUGGACCCUUUCCCUUUUGGCUGAUCCAUUUGUGGUUUCAGGGUGGGUGAAAACAGAGUUGGGUGCUGUGGAAUUGGUGAGGGUAACCAGAAGUGGUCUUGUGAUAGUUUGGGUUUCUGCUGGUCAGAGGGAGAAGGCGCUCCGUGUUAAAUGAAUGGGGGCAAGAAAUGUGAAUAGCAGUAAAAGUUUACCAACUGAAGGGGAAGAUUCCUGGCGUUUGUGAUGCUUGUCGUUUGGUGCGAGGCAGACAUGGUGAUAUGAGUGGUGAAACAGAGUCGUCUGUUCUUCCGAGUUUUGAUGAGUCUUUGCCCGACAAAGUGAUGUUAGGAUAUUUAAGUUAUCCUGUACGAGCUUUAGUGCCGAAUAAAUUGUUGUUACUGGUGUCAAGCUUAUGGGCAUGUGGCAGCAGUGUGUAGGAGGGGAGGUGUGAGAAGGGCAUGGGACAAAGGAAUGUGUGGCAUUGGGGGAAAAGUAGUGGUAUGUGUUAAUUGUAGGGAUGCCCAUGGGGCUGUGGAUCAGAAAUGUCACGUGCGAGAGAAGCAGGUUGAGGUUUCCAGGGUUAGGAGUGCAGAAGUUGUCAUAUGCUGAGGCAGGGAAGAAAGUAGAGGAACAUGAGUCAAGGGGGAGGGAUCCUGAGAGGAGUGGUGUGAGUAGUAGAUAUGUACCAGUACAGAGAGAGAGGCCAACAAGUGAGAUGUUUCCGUAAGAUUGUAUUUUUAGCAUUUGUAGCAAUGGUUACUUCAGGGAUGGAAGGAAAGCUGCAGAGAGAUAUUUGGGUGUGUGAGAUAGAUUGGAUGCAGAAUUACAAUCCCUUACAUCCUUACACAUCUUCAGUGGAGAAGAACAUCCAUAGACACGGAGCUGCUGCAGCAGAUAUACCACUUCCUACAGGUAACACACACAGGAAUGGAUGAGCACACAAACGGUCAUCAUUUCUGCAUAGAAAGGUUUAGUCUGCACCGAUAAUCUUAUGAGAUAUAUUUGUGUAUGUGUGAGGUAAGCGUGCAGAGUGAAUGUUUCCCAUUGUGCUCUGUUAGAUGGUAUGUAUCUGAAGGCGCUAACCUGUGUGUGGGAGGUGAGGAUGCAGACUGUCAUACCCUCUGUCCUCUUUGAAGGGGUUAGUGUGUGAGGGCUCUAAUAUGCUGCUUCUGACGCUGCUCUCUCUGAGGAAGAACAUCCUGAAAAACAUGGCCUUCCCCUCCUUUCACCAGGACACACACUUCUCAACCUCUACAUACUGUAUGAGGAGUUGAAGGCGGAACAUGUCUCGUACCUGCGACAGCACCAGGAGCUCCGUGCCACGAUGGCCGACUUCUUGCAGUUCCUGUUUCAGCAAAGAACCGAGCAAUGUCUUCAUGUUCGCCAGCAAGGACUUCUCUCCCUUCGCCUCCUGUCGACCCCUGGGGGGCACCUUCAACACCUCAUUAUCUUGAGGACACACACUGUGGCUGCAUCUCAAUAGUCUGGUAGCUUCCUCCCACAGGCACUAUAGUGAGGACAAUACUCUUCUGGUUAGCACUUAACAUUAGUAUGUACAGAGGCCCUCAAUCAUCAAAUAUGAAUGCUUUUGUUGAUAUUUUGUAUUUUAUUUUGUGGUACUGUUUUUGUUUGUAUGAGCUGCACUGAAUUAAAUUUCAAUCAACUGUUGAUAUGGCAACCGCAAGAGUUAGUUAUGUCAGUUGGUGUGAAUAAAAUAAUACAUUAUAUGUU